rnacentral:rRNA from 1 species
UACGUAUGGAGCAAGCGUUAUCCGGAUUUACUGGGUGUAAAGGGAGCGCAGGCGGCUUUGCAAGUCUGAUGUGAAAGGCCGGGGCUCAACCCCGGGACUGCAUUGGAAACUGUAAAGCUAGAGUGCCGGAGAGGUAAGCGGAAUUCCUAGUGUAGCGGUGAAAUGCGUAGAUAUUAGGAGGAACACCAGUGGCGAAGGCGGCCUGCUGGACGAUGACUGACGUUGAGGCUCGAAAGCGUGGGGAGCAAACAGG